AAUGCAGUCGAGCGAAUGGAUUAAGAGCUUGCUCUUAUGAAGUUAGCGGCGGACGGGUGAGUAACACGUGGGUAACCUGCCCAUAAGACUGGGAUAACUCCGGGAAACCGGGGCUAAUACCGGAUAACAUUUUGAACCGCAUGGUUCGAAAUUGAAAGGCGGCUUCGGCUGUCACUUAUGGAUGGACCCGCGUCGCAUUAGCUAGUUGGUGAGGUAACGGCUCACCAAGGCAACGAUGCGUAGCCGACCUGAGAGGGUGAUCGGCCACACUGGGACUGAGACACGGCCCAGACUCCUACGGGAGGCAGCAGUAGGGAAUCUUCCGCAAUGGACGAAAGUCUGACGGAGCAACGCCGCGUGAGUGAUGAAGGCUUUCGGGUCGUAAAACUCUGUUGUUAGGGAAGAACAAGUGCUAGUUGAAUAAGCUGGCACCUUGACGGUACCUAACCAGAAAGCCACGGCUAACUACGUGCCAGCAGCCGCGGUAAUACGUAGGUGGCAAGCGUUAUCCGGAAUUAUUGGGCGUAAAGCGCGCGCAGGUGGUUUCUUAAGUCUGAUGUGAAAGCCCACGGCUCAACCGUGGAGGGUCAUUGGAAACUGGGAGACUUGAGUGCAGAAGAGGAAAGUGGAAUUCCAUGUGUAGCGGUGAAAUGC
rnacentral:rRNA from 1 species